GACGAACGCUGGCGGCGCGCCUAACACAUGCAAGUCGAACGAGCGAGAGCGAGCUUUCUUUCUCGAUCGAGUGGCGAACGGGUGAGUAACGCGUGAGGAACCUGCCCCAAAGAGGGGGACAACAGUUGGAAACUACUGCUAAUACCGCAUAGGCCCACGAGCCGGCAUGGGGUGGGGGGAAAAGGAGCAAUCCGCUGUGAGAUGGCCUCGCGUCAGAUUAUCUAGUUGGUGAGGUAACGGCCCACCAAGGCGACGGGCGGUAGCCGUACUGAGAGGUUGAGCGGCCACAUUGGGACUGCGACCCGGCCCCGACUCCUACGGGAGGCAGCAGUGGGGAAUAUUGCACAAUGGGGGAAACCCCGAUGCAGCGACGCCGCGUGGAAGAAGAAGGUCUUCGGAUUGUACACUCCUGUUGUUGAGGAAGAUAAUGACGGUACUCAACAAGGAAGUAACGGCUAACUACGUG
rnacentral:rRNA from 1 species